AUAGUAGUAUAAAUUUCACUGUUUGUUUCACUAAGUUGGAUUUCAUUGAUUGCUUUGCCGAUUCAUGCAGGAAUUUAUUGUGCUAAUAUUGCAAGUGCUGGCUGGACCUUCGCUGAAGGCGUCUUCCUUGCUUGAAUUGAUAAAUUUGUAGCAAAUGAAAGGAACAUUCCGCUCAAUGGUCUGGUGAUGGGCACUCAUGGUUGAGGAAGCUUUCAGCGAUUCCACAACCACACAAGUAAUGAAAUUGCCACAGCUUUCACCAAACAACAAGUACUACGAGCCCAGGCAGUUUGAGUCGACUAAGUGUCUAAGUCUAUGUGUUGUUAUUGAACACUUCAUUGACGGGGACAGAAGUUAACUACAUAUUCCAAGAUGCACUAGGCCCCCUCAGGAAAAAAUACUCCAUACGUUUCAUCAGAUGAGUCAGCUGCUAUCACUGUUUCUUCGUUUCCUUUAUGGUGACCAUAUUGGUCAAACUACUCUCAGUAAUGAGCAACUAAUAGAGUUGUUAAUCAUGGCUGGCCGGUUUGAGGUCGAACAACUUAGUUCCGGCUUGAAGAUAUCCUCGGAGGUGAAGUUUCUAGGCCUGAGCUUUUGCGGUUAGCCCUGGCGGCUGACUGUGACAUUAAUAGAGCCGUCAACUAUUACCUUGCGCAGCCGGAUCCUAGCACAGACUAAGAGGGUAAAGACUACGAUCGGGGAUAGGGCUGAGAGGAAUGCUUGAAGCUAUGCUCGUCCUAUGCCGUAUGGUGGCGCGUCGAGCACACAAAACGAAAGCCAUUAUUUUUCCUCUUUCCCUACUGAUUUGAGUCUUCACACACCGUAAGUUUAUAAUUAAACCAUUAACAUUUCAAUAGUGAUGUUUUGUGUAAAUAUAGCUUAGAAAUCCCCCAUGUUGUGUGAAUUUUUUUAAAUUUCUAUGUGAUCUCUAGACACAAUCUAUAAAUUCCUUUAUUAAACCCCCUUUUUGCCCAU
rnacentral:lncRNA from 1 species